UACGUAGGGGGCUAGCGUUGUCCGGAAUCAUUGGGCGUAAAGAGCGUGUAGGCGGCCCGGUAAGUCCGCUGUAAAAGUCAAAGGCUCAACCUUUGAAUGUCAGUGGAUACUGCCGGGCUAGAGUCCGGAAGAGGCGAGUGGAACUCCUGGUGUAGCGGUGGAAUGCGCAGAUAUCAGGAAGAACACCGACGGCGAAGGCAGCUCGCUGGGACGGUAACUGACGCUGAGACGCGAAAGCGUGGGGAGCGAACAGG
rnacentral:rRNA from 1 species